rnacentral:rRNA from 1 species
GAUGAACGCUGGCGGCGUGCUUAACACAUGCAAGUCGAACGGGAAAUAUUUCAUUGAGCCUUCGGUGGAUUUGAUUUAUUUCUAGUGGCGGACGGGUGAGUAACGCGUGGGUAACCUGCCUUAUACAGGGGGAUAACAGUCAGAAAUGGCUGCUAAUACCGCAUAAGCGCACAGAGCUGCAUGGCUCAGUGUGAAAAACUCCGGUGGUAUAAGAUGGACCCGCGUUGGAUUAGCUAGUUGGUGGGGUAACGGCCCACCAAGGCGACGAUCCAUAGCCGGCCUGAGAGGGUGAACGGCCACAUUGGGACUGAGACACGGCCCAGACUCCUACGGGAGGCAGCAGUGGGGAAUAUUGCACAAUGGGGGAAACCCUGAUGCAGCGACGACGCGUGAAGGAAGAAGUAUCUCGGUAUGUAAACUUCUAUCAGCAGGGAAGAUAGUGACGGUACCUGACUAAGAAGCCCCGGCUAACUACGUG